rnacentral:rRNA from 1 species
CAGCCGCCGCGGUAAUACGGAGGGCGCGAGCGUUGUCCGGAUUCACUGGGCGUAAAGCGGGUGUAGGCGGUCGGGUAAGUCGGACGUGAAAGCCCGGGGCUCAACCCCGGAAGGGCGUCCGAAACUGCUCGACUUGAGGGCGGGAGAGGGAGGUGGAAUUCCCGGUGUAGCGGUGAAAUGCGUAGAGAUGUGGAGGAACACCAGUGGCGAAGGCGGCUCUCUGGCCUGUAACUGACGCUGAGGCGCGAAAGCGUGGGGAGCAAACAGGAUUAGAUACCCUGGUAGUCCACGCCGUAAACGAUGAGUGCUAAGUGUUAGAGGGGUCACACCCUUUAGUGCUGUAGCUAACGCGAUAAGCACUCCGCCUGGGGAGUACGGCCGCAAGGCUGAAACUUAAAGGAAUUGGCGGG